GGGGAAUAUUGCGCAAUGGGGGGAACCCUGACGCAGCAACGCCGCGUGAAGGAUGAAGGUUUUCGGAUUGUAAACUUCUUUGAUGAGGGACGAAUAAAUGACGGUACCUCAAAAACAAGCCACGGCUAACUACGUGCCAGCAGCCGCGGUAAUACGUAGGUGGCGAGCGUUGUCCGGAAUUACUGGGUGUAAAGGGCGUGUAGGCGGGAAUGUAAGUCAGAUGUGAAAUACCAUGGCUCAACUGUGGGGCUGCAUCUGAAACUAUGUUUCUUGAGUGCUGGAGAGGAAAGCGGAAUUCCUAGUGUAGCGGUGAAAUGCGUAGAUAUUAGGAGGAACACCAGUGGCGAAGGCGGCUUUCUGGACAGUAACUGACGCUGAGGCGCGAAAGCGUGGGGAGCAAAC
rnacentral:rRNA from 1 species